UAGGGAAUCUUCGGCAAUGGACGGAAGUCUGACCGAGCAACGCCGCGUGAGUGAAGAAGGUUUUCGGAUCGUAAAGCUCUGUUGUAAGAGAAGAACGAGUGUGAGAGUGGAAAGUUCACACUGUGACGGUAUCUUACCAGAAAGGGACGGCUAACUACGUGCCAGCAGCCGCGGUAAUACGUAGGUCCCGAGCGUUGUCCGGAUUUAUUGGGCGUAAAGCGAGCGCAGGCGGUUAGAUAAGUCUGAAGUUAAAGGCUGUGGCUUAACCAUAGUAGGCUUUGGAAACUGUUUAACUUGAGUGCAAGAGGGGAGGGUGGAAUUCCAUGUGUAGCGGUGAAAUGCGUAGAUAUAUGGAGGAACACCGGUGGCGAAAGCGGCUCUCUGGCUUGUAACUGACGCUGAGGCUCGAAAGCGUGGGGAGCAAACAGGAUUAGAUACCCUGGUAGUCCACGCUGUAGACGAUGAGUGCUAGGUGUUAGACCCUUUCCGGGGUUUAGUGCCGUAGCUAACGCAUUAAGCACUCCGCCUGGGGAGUACGACCGCAAGGUU
rnacentral:rRNA from 1 species